rnacentral:lncRNA from 1 species
UGCCCCUGAAUUAGUAAUUUUAAGGAAAUUUUACUGUUUUUGGUUAUUAUCUUGAAUAUUAUUAUAGAUAGAGAUAAACAGUAAACAGCAAUAAUGUUCAGCAAAGUAAGAUUUACAAAUAAGUCAACAUGACCUAAAUGGUCAAUUGACCCCUUAAGGAGUUAUUGCCCUUUAUAGUCAAUUUUUAACAAUUUUCAUUAAUUUGGUAAAUUUAUGUAAAUUUUUACCAAAUAUAGUUCUCUGUUACUAAUGGGCAAAGUUCAUUAUAGAUAUAAUUGUAAGAAGCAAAAUUGUUCAGUAAAGUAAGAACUUCAAACACAUCACCAUCACCAAAAUACAAUUUUGUCAUGAAUCCAUUUGUGUCCUUUGUUUAAUAUGCACAUAGACCAAGGUGAGCGACACAGGCUCUUUAGAGCCUCUAGUUUUAAUUUAAUUUUUCUAUUUUUCUAUAAAGUAUAAGAUAAAGUUCAUUUAUAGAAAAAUAUAGCGUAACCCUAUAUUACAUGUAUUAAGAAAAAAAAUUGAUUGAAACCUGUGAGCCCCCUUAAUUUAACAAAAAUAGUUCACUGUACAGCCUUUGACAAUGAGCAAACGCUAUACCGGACAGUGGUUUUAAUAACAGCACAACAUUUGAACAAAUUGUAAAAAUUUGUUGCAAUGGGCUUAACUCAAAAGACUGCAACAAGGAACCAAACAAUAACCAGUAAUAUGUAAAUCAUAGACACAAAGCACUGAAAUAAGAGUACUAACAAUAGAUAUUUAAAUGAAAGUUUAUUAAAAUGUUCAUAAACAUGAUAAAAUAGUCAUUUUAUUGCUGUAUUUCUCUUCACUGAUAAUUUUUGAGUUUUGUGUAUUUGUAGGUCAGACAUCUCGGUUUUCAUGGUCAUCAUUCAACAGAUCAAUACUGAACAGAAAACUUGGAAGAUGAUAUUUUUCUCAACAGUGCGACUUUUUUUAUUAAUUUGAAAUGGAAUGUUUUUUUCUACAUUUAAUAGAAAAAGGAAAUUUCAACAUAAUGACUAUAAACAAAAAGGAGUCAUAUCAUCACGAUCAUAGAUGCUCAAGAACUUGAUCAUGUAAAUGCAACAAUGUAACUAUCAAUUGAACAUUUGUUGAAAGAAGGAACGAAUGAAAAAAAUAUUAGUAUGUUGUUGUCCAAAUAAACCUGCUUUGUCUUCUCAUUUGAAUCGCUCCAUCCAAUAAAGAUGUACCGAGGAGGAUCUUUGAAGAACAGAUUGAAAAAUGUUUUGUCUAAGAAUUGCAGGAAUAUUCUAGUGGAUGAAAUAAUUUAUUGACUUGACUCUUAUAUAGUGGACUGAAUAAUUGUACAUAGCAAGCAGCGAAAAAGAAAACUAAAACUUUAACACAAAAAGUGUUUAAAUUAUAAAUUUGCAAAUAUAAGCAUAAUAUUAUGUACACCACAAAGGUAUAUAAUUCAAAUUGUUUGCAUAUUCAAUCAUGUAUUGCAAUGAAACUAUAACAAAGAAAACCUUACUUCAUGAAAAGAGUAAACUAUUCAGUCAGAAUAUGAAAUAUUUUUUUCAGUUCUAUUUUUCAUUAUAAAAUAAACAAGACAAAGAUUUCAAAACAAUAUUUUUUCAUUUAUUUAAACAUGUCAUCAUUUUGUUUCAGUGAAAGAACUUUACUCUUUGACCUUAAAUUUUAUUAUACAUUCCAAAAUCAGAAUUAUAAUCUUUAU